AGGACGAACGCUGGCGGCGUGCUUAACACAUGCAAGUCGAGCGGUAAGGCCUUUCGGGGUACACGAGCGGCGAACGGGUGAGUAACACGUGGGUGAUCUGCCCUGCACUUCGGGAUAAGCCUGGGAAACUGGGUCUAAUACCGGAUAUGACCUCCGAUCGCAUGGUGGGUGGUGGAAAGAUUUAUCGGUGCAGGAUGGGCCCGCGGCCUAUCAGCUUGUUGGUGGGGUAAUGGCCUACCAAGGCGACGACGGGUAGCCGACCUGAGAGGGUGACCGGCCACACUGGGACUGAGACACGGCCCAGACUCCUACGGGAGGCAGCAGUGGGGAAUAUUGCACAAUGGGCGAAAGCCUGAUGCAGCGACGCCGCGUGAGGAUGACGGCCUUCGGGUUGUAAACCUCUUUCGAGCGUAGGACGAAGCGACGAAGUGACGGUACCUGCAGAAGAAGCACCGGCUAACGUACGUGCCAGCAGCCGC
rnacentral:rRNA from 1 species